rnacentral:rRNA from 1 species
UACAGAGGUCUCAAGCGUUGUUCGGAUUCAUUGGGCGUAAAGGGUGCGUAGGCGGCGCGGUAAGUCGGGUGUGAAAUCUCGGAGCUUAACUCCGAAACUGCAUUCGAUACUGCCGUGCUUGAGGACUGGAGAGGAGACUGGAAUUUACGGUGUAGCGGUGAAAUUCGUAGAUAUUCGCAAGAACACCAGUGGCGAAGGCGGCUCACUGGCCCGGUACUGACGCUGAGGUGCGAAAGCGUGGGGAGCAAACAGG